rnacentral:lncRNA from 10 species
AGAGAACUAGAAAAUGAAACUCAGCUGAAAAACGGCCACCUAAGAUGGAAGAAGCCAUGAGAUGAGUAAGCGUUGCCUACUCACAAGGUUGCAAACUGUCCUUCACUUACGAUUAUCCCCCAACGCCCCCUCCUAAAUCUGAUCAAUCGCAUGGAACUUGAUGGUUACAAAAGACAGAGCUAACAACUAGCUACCUUGCAGGAACGGGAACGUCAUUCUGAGGGUAGUCCACAUGCAAGUGUUCUAAAGUUGACAUCACUGCUUCAUCAUUCACCUCAUUUUCCCAGAACAGAAGCACCAAGAAAAUUAUCACCAUUAUUAUCAUCAGAGUGCAGAUCCUUUUUUAAUAGCGAGAACAUUUAAAACCUACUCUUCGAAUAAUUUUGAAAUCUACAAAAUGGCAGCAUGGCCCAGGAGUGUGACUGGCAGUGAAGGAGCUGGGAAGACCUUGGAUGCAGGAAGGUCAUUUAAAGCAAAAGAUUAAGAAGCAGCAAUGCCCCUCUUGUGGCAAGAGUUGGCAGCGUGCGGUUGGUAUGUCAAUGCAUCCAAGGUCCAAGGGCCUGGAUUGUCU